rnacentral:rRNA from 1 species
AGAACGAACGCUGGCGGCAUGCCUAACACAUGCAAGUCGAACGCUUUUGGGGCUUCGGUCCCAAAGGAGUGGCGCACGGGUGAGUAGCGCGUGGGAACCUGCCCUGGAGUGGGGGAUAACCGAGGGAAACUUCGGCUAAUACCGCAUACGCCGGGAAACCGGGAAAGAUUUAUCGCUCUAGGAGGGGCCCGCGUCGGAUUAGGUAGUUGGUGGGGUAACGGCCUACCAAGCCUUUGAUCCGUAGCUGGUCUGAGAGGAUGAUCAGCCACACUGGGACUGAGACACGGCCCAGACUCCUACGGGAGGCAGCAGUGGGGAAUAUUGGACAAUGGGCGCAAGCCUGAUCCAGCAAUGCCGCGUGAGUGAUGAAGGCCUUCGGGUUGUAAAGCUCUUUCGCACGCGAGGAUGAUGACGCUAGCGUGAGAAGAAGCCCCGGCUAACUUCGUGCCAGCAGCCGC